AAUGGGGGAAACCCUGACGCAGCGACGCCGUGUGAGGGAAGAAGGCCUUCGGGUCGUAAACCUCUGUCAGAAGGGAAGAACCGCCUAAGGUCGAACAGGCCUUGGGUCUGACGGUACCUUCAGAGGAAGCACCGGCUAACUCCGUGCCAGCAGCCGCGGUAAUACGGAGGGUGCAAGCGUUAAUCGGAAUCACUGGGCGUAAAGCGCACGUAGGCGGUUUUGUAAGUCGGACGUGAAAUCCCUCGGCUCAACCGAGGAACUGCGUUCGAUACUGCAUAACUGGAGUACCGGAGAGGGUGGCGGAAUUCCGGGUGUAGGAGUGAAAUCCGUAGAGAUCCGGAGGAACACCGGUGGCGAAGGCGGCCACCUGGACGGUUACUGACGCUGAGGUGCGAAAGCGUGGGGAGCAAA
rnacentral:rRNA from 1 species